UACGGAGGGUGCAAGCGUUAUCCGGAUUCACUGGGUUUAAAGGGUGCGUAGGUGGUCAGGUAAGUCAGUGGUGAAAUCUCUGGGCUUAACCCGGAAACUGCCGUUGAUACUAUCUGUCUUGAAUAUAGUGGAGGUGAGCGGAAUAUGUCAUGUAGCGGUGAAAUGCUUAGAUAUGACAUAGAACAUCGAUUGCGAAGGCAGCUCGCUACACUAUGAUUGACACUGAGGCACGAAAGCGUGGGGAUCAAACAGG
rnacentral:rRNA from 1 species